CCACAAGCCCCAGUGGGCACAGGGUGUGAGAUGAUGGAGCACUGUUUAAGGAAUGCCCUGCGACUGAAGGGAGCAGCUGGGUGGAGCGGCUGGGUAGCGCGGGGCGCGGCAGUAGGAGGACGAAGGUCUCUGACGGAGUGAACUCUGAAGAGACCUGACUGGAGUCGAGGCUCGGCGAGGCCUUGGAGGGGAGCGGCUUAGCGGGCGAGCGCGAAGACUCAAUCCUCAAGCGGCGGACGCUGUGGAGACGUCUCGGCCGCUCGGAGGGGCCCGAGCUGUGUUCGGAUCCAAUUCUCAGUCAGGAGGGCGAAUAUCUGACUGGAGAGGUUCGGUGGAGAAAGGCUCUCUGGGGGUGGUGGGGGACAGGAUUUGGCUCUGCGGACGAGCAAGCCAUGAGGAACCCCAGGGUUCCGAGGAGAUCUGGCAGUGCGGAUUGGGGUCUGAGGGCGCAUUCUGCGACCGGUCGGCGGGGCGCGGGGAUCGGACACCCUUGCCUGCCCAGUGCAGACAACCCCAAAGGCAAGGCCGAGAGCGGGCAGCGAGCCCAGCGCGCGCCAACCGCUGCGGCCCCUCGGAGAGACCCGCCCAUCCGCCGUCACACCCUAUUCUCAUUGGUGCCUCUUCUGCGCGGAUUGGCUACCUCCGGAUCCAAUAAGCCAGGCUUGCAUCCUACUUCCGGUGAGAGCGAAGUCGGCUCCCUGGAGAAGCCGGAAGAGUGCGUUUGCGCGCGCUUGCGGAAGUCGCGGCAGCUCUGAGCGCAGUGGUGCGCGCCGGGAGGCGUGGCCGGGAGAGUAUUCAUAACGGGAAAGGUCAGGAGGGUUGGUGCCCUGGUGGACUGUAAGGGGCGGGGCCUGCAGGGAGUGGAGGAAUUAAAUGAAAUUGGGCGGGCCUUCAAUAAACCUUUAGAGGCUCGGGCUUAGUGGGCAAGGCCUUAAAGAGUGCUGUGUGGUCACGGUCUUUUGGCGAUGAGUGGAGCUGGUACUGAGUGGGCGGGGCCAUUAUGGGGCGGAGCCUGGCGUGGAAUUGUUAGCUGGGUCCUUUUUGCUCUGGAGCAUGAGACAUCGUACUCGAGCCUCUUUCCCGGCCCUGUGGGCCUCCAUCCCCUGUCCACGCUCGGAACUGCGCCUGGACCUGGUUCUGGCUUCCGGACAGUCCUUCCGGAUGGGAGGGCCCUAAAGGGUGCAAGAAGGAAAACUGAGUACCAGAGUUGCUGUGUGCCUUGGGGGCUCAGGUGGAGGGAGCAAAACCCUGCGCACUGGACUGGCGUGCUGGGGAACCAAGUAUGGACACUGACCCAGACUGAGGAGCAGAUCUACUGUACUGUGUACCGAGGGGACAAGGGUUGGGUUGGCAGGCCCACACCAGAAGAGCUAAAGACUGUGCACCAGUACUUCCAGCUGGAUGUCAGCCUGGCUCAACUAUAUCACCACUGGAGUUCCGUGGACCCUCACUUUCAAGAGGUGGCUCACAAAUUCCAAGGUGUUCGACUUCUGCAACAGGACCCCGUCGAGUGCCUUUUCUCCUUCAUCUGUUCCUCCAACAACAACAUUGCUCGCAUAACUGGCAUGGUGGAACGCCUCUGCCAGGCUUUUGGACCUCAGCUCAUCCAGCUGGAUGAUGUCACCUACCAUGGCUUCCCCAGCCUGCAGGCCCUGGCUGGGCCAGAGGUAGAAGCUCAGCUCAGGAAGCUGGGCCUGGGGUAUCGUGCCCGUUACGUGAAUGCCAGUGCCCGAGCCAUCCUAGAAGAACAGGGCGGGUUGCCCUGGCUGCAGCAGCUGCACAAGGCCCCCUACGAGGAGGCCCACAAGGCCCUCUGCACCUUGCCUGGGGUGGGCACCAAGGUAGCUGACUGCAUCUGCUUGAUGGCCCUAGACAAGCCCCAGGCCGUGCCCGUGGAUAUCCACAUGUGGCAGAUUGCCCAGCGUGACUACAGCUGGCACCCCACCAUGUCCCAGGCCAAGGGUCCAAGCCCCCAGGCUAACAAGGAACUGGGAACCCAGAGCUGCAGCCAAGAGCAGCCUCUGUUCCACCCACUGUCAGCCAGAAGUGAAAAGAUGAGCCAGACUGGGCCAUGGCAAGGCCGCUGCAGGGCCUGGACUAUAGCAAACAGGAAGCAGUGAUAAACUGACCAGAGGAAGUACCACCCUGGAUGCAGUCACCCUAGCCAGCCAGGCCCAAGACUCCAGGUUUCUCCCCCUCCAAAUCAAAACACUCAGGAGGACGCUGACCUCCAGGAGAACAGCAGAGAAGACCCCAGAGCAGCUUGUACAAAGCUCUCAGCCAUGGCAACAAGGUCACUGAGUGAGGAAACAGGAGUAUGAAUGAGGAAAGGGAGGCAAUUAGAUGGAGUGAAUGAACAAAGGAGUCAGAGUCUUCAGUCUUCACAGACCAGAAAUAUUCUUUCAUUGCUCCCAUCGCUCUGGAAGCCUUCCCAAACUGAUUCUAGGAAGCUCUGAUCAUUUUAGAAAUGCCUCUUUUGUACUGAUACCAAAAGAAGACAACACAGAAGAGCAAUGAGAAAACACUCAACAACAGUAAAGAGAAGAGCCAAGGUUUGUUAAGCGUUUGGAAUGUAUGUUAAGCAUGUUGUGACAGAGGCUGCUGGCUGUCCAGCUACACUACAUUUCCCAGACUUCCUUGUGGUCAGAUGUGGCCAUGUGACAAACUCUCUCCAGUGGAAAGCGAUCAGAAGAGAUAAGAGCCACAGCCAGUCAUGGCCAUAAACCCCAUAAACCUUCCUUCACACAUUCUUCCUUGCUCUUUUUCUGUGGGCUUGGAGUAGUAAUCAUACCCAGAAUGACCUUGUGCAGAGCAGGUUUAGGGUGGCAAAACCAUCACAGAUGGGGUCCUUGUCUGAUGGGGUGGGGCUGAGAUCUCUCCCCUCCCCCACCUCAGCCAACCUGGAACACCUGGCCCAGACUGUUACACGAGAGAGAAAAACACUACUGUGUUUGAGCCAGGGAGAAAACUAAGGCUCAGUGAGGUGAAAGGAUGUGCCUAAGGCCAGAUAGUGGGCAUAAAGAAAGGGACUCUGUAUCUGAGGUUUGAAUCCUGCUUCUGUUUAUUAGCUGCAUGACUCCUAGCAAACAGUUCCUUUUCCUGAGCCUCAAUCUUCUAGUAUGUAACAUGGAGCAAACCACUGUCCUUGCCUCAACAAAAGGAUGCGUGGAAAGCCCCUUGCACAGGGGUCAGCCCUUAGCCAACAUUCAGCAAAAGUAACUGUGGUAUAGUGGCUACUUCUGGGAGAGGUUA